AGACAACCAAACAAGGCACCGCCAUGCAGGAAAUGAGAAGAGAUUACGUGAUCAGCACACGCCAAGACGGUUUUUCGGGCUGUCUUCGAUCGCCAAGGACUCCCACGAACACUCUCGGGGACCCCGCGGGAGUGCGGACCACAAUUUGGUAACCUCUGGCCUAGUGCACUUCAAGGCUCACCACCAUGUUCUCGAUCUACCCGGAAAGCAGCGCAGGCAGUUCAUAUAUAGGCACAAUAACAUCUGAACGAAAAUGGAACUGAGAAGAAA